CCUACGGGGGGCAGCAGUGAGGAAUAGUGGUCAAUGGACGAGAGUCUGAACCAGCCAAGUAGCGUGAAGGAUGAAGGCCCUAUGGGUUGUAAACUUCUUUUAUAAAGGAAUAAAACGAGGCACGUGUGCCUUUUUGCAUGGACCUUAUGAAAAAGGAUCGGCUAACUCCGUGCCAGCAGCCGCGGUAAUACGGAGGAUCCGGGCGUUAUCCGGAUUUAUUGGGGUUAAAGGGGGCGGAGUUGGGUUUGUAAGUCAGUUGUGAAAGUUUGCGGCUCACCCGUAAGAUUGCCAUUGAUACUGGCAGUCUUGAGUACACUUGAGGUAGGCGGAAUUCGUGGUGUCGCGGU
rnacentral:rRNA from 1 species